rnacentral:rRNA from 1 species
UACGAAGGGGGCGAGCGUUGUUCGGAAUUACUGGGCGUAAAGGGCGCGCAGGCGGCUCUGAAAGUCAGAUGUGAAAGCCCCGGGCUUAACCUGGGAAUUGCAUUUGAUACUCUGGAGCUUGAGUACGGGAGAGGAGAGUGGAAUUCCCAGUGUAGAGGUGAAAUUCGUAGAUAUUGGGAAGAACACCGGUGGCGAAGGCGGCUCUCUGGACCGAUACUGACGCUGAGGCGCGAAAGCGUGGGGAGCAAACAGG